UCAAGCUACUAAGGGCAUACGGUGGAUGCCUAGGCGCCAAGAGCCGAAGAAGGACGCGGUAAGCUGCGAAAAGCCACGGGGAACUGCAAGCAAGUAUUGAUCCGUGGAUAUCCGAAUGGGGAAACCCGGCCAUCGUCAUGGAUGGUCACCCGCAAGGGAGGGAACCUGGGGAACUGAAACAUCUAAGUACCCGGAGGAAGAGAAAUCAAACGAGAUGCCCACAGUAGCGGCGAGCGAAGAGGGCAGAGCCCAAACCGAGAAGCUCCGGCUUUUCGGGGUUGAGGACCGGCAGAAUCGAAGUCAGGCCUAGUUGAAUUACCUGGAAAGGUAAGCGAGAGAGGGUAAAAGCCCCGUAGACGAAAGGCAGAGCAGAGAGGCCGAGAUCCAGAGUACCACGAAGCACGAGGAAUUUUGUGGGAAGCAGGGGGGACCACCCUCCAAGGCUAAAAACUACUUGGCGACCGAUAGCGCAUAGUACCGUGAGGGAAAGGUGAAAAGAACCCCGGGAGGGGAGUGAAAUAGUACCUGAAACCGUAUGUCUACAAGCAGUCGAAGCGAAAGCGACGGCGUGCCUAUUGAAGAAUGAACCAACGAGUUAUCUGCACUAGCGAGGUUAAGUGGAAGACACGGAGCCGCAGCGAAAGCGAGUCUUAAGAGGGCGCUAGUUAGUGUAGGUAGACCCGAAACCGCAGUGAUCUACCCAUGUCCAGGUUGAAGCGCAGGUAAAAUUGCGUGGAGGACCGAACCGGUGAGCGUUGAAAAGCUUUCGGAUGAGAUGUGGGUAGGGGUGAAAUUCCAAUCGAACGCGGAGAUAGCUGGUUCUCCCCGAAAUAGCUUUAGGGCUAGCCUGAGGUAGUAAGUAUAGGCGGUAGAGCACUGAUCGGGCUAGGGGCCGUAAAGGUUACCGAACCCUGUCAAACUCCGAAUGGAUAUACUGUAGAGCCUUGGAGUCAGACUACGAGUGAUAAGAUCCGUGGUCAAAAGGGAAACAGCCCAGACCACCAGCUAAGGUCCCCAAUGUCGUACUAAGUGGAAAAGGAUGUGGGGUUUCAUAAACAACCAGGAUGUUGGCUCAGAAGCAGCCACCAUUUAAAGAGUGCGUAAUAGCUCACUGGUCGAGAGACCCUGCGCCGAAGAUUCCCGGGGCUAAAGUACGAAACCGAAGCUGUGGCUGUAUACGUAAAGUAUACGGGGUAGGGGAGCGUUCCCAUAGGGUAGAAGUCGAACUGGAAGGUUCGGUGGACUUGUGGGAAGUGAGAAUGUUGGUAUGAGUAGCGAAAAGAAAGGUGAGAAUCCUUUCCACCGAAAGCAUAAGGAUUCCUGAGCAACGAUCGUCGUCUCAGGGUAAGUCGGGACCUAAUCCGAGGCAGAGAGCGUAGGAGAUGGACAACUGGUUGAUAUUCCAGUACCGGUAGUAAUUGUUUGAGCAAUGGAGUGACACAGAAGGGCAGGCAAGCAUGCGAAUGGAAGAGCAUGUGUAAGCGUGUAGGGUGGUGCAUAGGCAAAUCCGUGCACUGAAAGCCUGAGGCGUGAUGCGGAGUGAGCAGAGAUGCGAGCGAAGUUGUUGACCCCACACUGUCGAGAAAAGCUUCUAGUGAGAGAGCUACCGCCCGUACCGUAAACCGACACAGGUAUGCGGGGAGAGAAUCCUAAGGUGCGCGGGAGAACCCUCGUUAAGGAACUCGGCAAAAUGUACCCGUAACUUCGGGAUAAGGGUAGCCACUGUUGUGAAGUCCCAUGCGGAUGGAGCAUAGAGUGGUCGCAGAGAAGAGGCCCAAGCGACUGUUUACCAUAAACACAGGUGCCUGCUAAAGCGAAAGCUGACGUAUAGGUGCUGACACCUGCCCAGUGCCGGAAGGUUAAGGAAGGAUGUUCGGAGUAAUCCAAAGCAUUCGACUGAAGCCCCGGUGAACGGCGGCCGUAACUAUAACGGUCCUAAGGUAGCGAAAUUCCUUGUCGGGUAAGUUCCGACCCGCACGAAAGGUGUAACGAUUUGGCUGCUGUCUCACUGAGGGACCCGGUGAAAUUGAAAUACCUGUGAAGAUGCAGGUUACCCGCGACUGGACAGAAAGACCCCAUGGAGCUUUACUGUAACCUGACAUUGGGUUUUGAUACAUUACGUACAGGAUAGGUGGGAGGCAUGGAAAGCUGGACGCUAGUCUGGCUGGAGCCGACGUUGGGAUACCACCCUUGAUGUAUUGAAAUUCUAACCGCGAGAGUAACGAAAUCCGGGACAGUGUCAGGCGGGCAGUUUGACUGGGGCGGUCGCCUCC
rnacentral:rRNA from 1 species